rnacentral:rRNA from 1 species
UACGAGGGGGGCAAGCGUUGUUCGGAAUUACUGGGCGUAAAGGGCUCGUAGGCGGCCAACUAAGUCAGACGUGAAAUCCCCGGGCUCAACCCGGGAACUGCGUCCGAUACUGGAAGGCUUGAAUCCGGGAGAGGGAUGCGGAAUUCCAGGUGUAGCGGUGAAAUGCGUAGAUAUCUGGAGGAACACCGGUGGCGAAGGCGGCAUCCUGGACCGGCAUUGACGCUGAGGCGCGAAAGCUAGGGGAGCAAACGGG